GCAGGCUACAGUGGGGAACCCCACCUGUUUAGCAGAGAAUGGGGGUGGUGGGGUUCUCUGUCCAUAGUGUGCUUGAUGGGGUUUCCAUAUUACCACUGCCCCCACUCCAACCCUACCAGACCAAAGCAUCACAGGUGGGUCUCAAAUGGCCGUCCUAGCCCCACGCCGGAACGACAGGUGGAAUUUCACCAGAUUGAAGAGAUAUUAUAGGUACAUGUGUUCGACCGUGGUCAUGGACUUUCAUCAGGAACAAACACAGGUGCUCCCAAGGGGGAUGCAAUUCAAAGAGAAGAGAGGAGGGGGACAGAGUAGGAGCUAA
rnacentral:lncRNA from 8 species